rnacentral:rRNA from 1 species
AGUGAACGCUCGCGGUAGGCCUAACACAUGCAAGUCGAACGGCAGCACAGUAAGAUCUUGCUCGUACGGGUGGCGAGUGGCGGACGGGUGAGGAAUACAUCGGAAUCUACUUUUUCGUGGGGGAUAACGUAGGGAAACUUACGCUAAUACCGCAUACGACCUACGGGUGAAAGCAGGGGAUCUUCGGACCUUGCGCGAUUGAAUGAGCCGAUGUCGGAUUAGCUAGUUGGCGGGGUAAAGGCCCACCAAGGCGACGAUCCGUAGCUGGUCUGAGAGGAUGAUCAGCCACACUGGAACUGAGACACGGUCCAGACUCCUAAGGGAGGCAGCAGUGGGGAAUAUUGGACAAUGGGCGCAAGCCUGAUCCAGCCAUACCGCGUGGGUGAAGAAGGCCUUCGGGUUGUAAAGCCCUUUUGUUGGGAAAGAAAAGCAGCAGGUUAAUACCCCGCUGUUCUGACGGUACCCAAAGAAUAAGCACCGGCUAACUUCGUG